rnacentral:rRNA from 1 species
UACGUAGGGUGCGAGCGUUGUCCGGAAUUACUGGGCGUAAAGAGCUCGUAGGUGGUUUGUCGCGUUGUUCGUGAAAACUCACAGCUUAACUGUGGGCGUGCGGGCGAUACGGGCAGACUGGAGUACUGCAGGGGAGACUGGAAUUCCUGGUGUAGCGGUGGAAUGCGCAGAUAUCAGGGAGGAACAGCCGGUGGCGGAAGGCGGGGUCUCUGGGCAGUAACUGACGCUGGAGGAGCGGAAAGCGUGGGGAGCGAACAGG